rnacentral:rRNA from 1 species
UAGUUGUGCGGGUUUAGACCCGCAGCGGAAAGCUCAGUAACACGUGGCCAAACUACCCUGUGGAUGGGAACAAUCUCGGGAAACUGAGGCUAAUUCCCAAUAACGCUCCGCCCCUGGAACGGGCGGAGCUGGAAACGCUACGGCGCCACAGGAUGUGGCUGCGGUCGAUUAGGUAGACGGUGGGGUAACGGCCCACCGUGCCAAUAAUCGGUACGGGUUGUGAGAGCAAGAGCCCGGAGACGGAAUCUGAGACAAGAUUCCGGGCCCUACGGGGCGCAGCAGGCGCGAAACCUUUACACUGUACGCAAGUGCGAUAAGGGGACUCCGAGUGUGAAGGCAUAGAGCCUUCACUUUUGUACACCGUAAGGUGGUGUACGAAUAAGGGCUGGGCAAGACCGGUGCCAGCCGCCGCGGUAAUACCGGCAGCCCGAGUGAUGGCCGAUAUUAUUGGGCCUAAAGCGUCCGUAGCUGGCCGGACAAGUCCGUUGGGAAAUCUGUUCGCUUAACGAGCAGGCGUCCAGCGGAAACUGUUCGGCUUGGGACCGGAAGACCUGAGGGGUACGUCCGGGGUAGGAGUGAAAUCCUGUAAUCCUGGACGGACCACCGGUGGCGAAAGCGCCUCAGGAGGACGGAUCCGACAGUGAGGGACGAAAGCUAGGGUCUCGAACCGGAUUAGAUACCCGGGUAGUCCUAGCUGUAAACGAUGCCCGCUAGGUGUGGCGCAGGCUACGAGCCUGCGCUGUGCCGUAGGGAAGCCGAGAAGCGGGCCGCCUGGGAAGUACGUCUGCAAGGAUGAAACUUAAAGGAAUUGGCGGGGGAGCACUACAACCGGAGGAGCCUGCGGUUUAAUUGGACUCAACGCCGGACAUCUCACCAGCUCCGACAGUAGUAAUGACGGUCAGGUUGAUGACCUUACCCGAUGCUACUGAGAGGAGGUGCAUGGCCGCCGUCAGCUCGUACCGUGAGGCGUCCUGUUAAGUCAGGCAACGAGCGAGACCCGCACUCCUAAUUGCCAGCAGUACCCUUUGGGUAGCUGG